rnacentral:rRNA from 1 species
CCUGGUUGAUCCUGCCAGUAAUCAUAUGCUUGUCUCAAAGAUUAAGCCAUGCAUGUCUAAGUACAUGCCGAAAUAAGGCGAAACCGCGAAUGGCUCAUUAAAUCAGUUAUGGUUCCUUAGAUCGUUUCUUCCUACUUGGAUAACUGUGGCAAUUCUAGAGCUAAUACAUGCAGUGAGCCUGGAGACCCUUUGGGUAACGGGUGCUUUUAUUAGACCAAGAUCGAUCGGGUUUCGGCCCGUAUUGUGUGGUGACUCUGGAUAACUUUGUGCUGAUCGCAUGGCCACGAGCCGGCGACGUUUCUUUCAAGUGUCUGCCUUAUCAACUUUCGAUGGUAGGUUACUUGCUUACCAUGGUUGUUACGGGUAACGGAGAAUCAGGGUUCGAUUCCGGAGAGGGAGCCUGAGAAACGGCUACCACAUCCAAGGAAGGCAGCAGGCGCGCAAAUUACCCACUCCCGGCACGGGGAGGUAGUGACGAAAAUAACAAUACGGGACUCUUUUGAGGCCCCGUAAUUGAAAUGAGUACACUCUAAAUCCUUUAACGAGGAUCAAUUGGAGGGCAAGUCUGGUGCCAGCAGCCGCGGUAAUUCCAGCUCCAAUAGCGUAUACUAAAGCUGCUGCGGUUAAAAAGCUCGUAGUUGGAUCUCAGUUCCAGACGAGUAGUGCAUCUACCCGAUGCGACGGCUCGGACUGAACAUCAUGCCGGUUCUUUCUUGGUGCACUUCAUUGUGUGCCUCGAGAUGGCCGGUGCUUUUACUUUGAAAAAAUUAGAGUGCUCAACGCAGGCGAGUCGCCUGAAUAAACUUGCAUGGAAUAAUAGAACAAGACCUCGUUUCUGUUCUGUUGGUUUUUGGAAUACGAGGUAAUGAUUAAGAGGGACGGACGGGGGCAUUCGUAUUGCGGCGCUAGAGGUGAAAUUCUUGGACCGUCGCAAGACGAACUACUGCGAAAGCAUUUGCCAAGAAUGUUUUCAUUGAUCAAGAACGAAAGUCAGAGGUUCGAAGGCGAUCAGAUACCGCCCUAGUUCUGACCAUAAACGAUGCCAACCAGCGAUCCGCCUGAGUUACUCAAAUGACUCGGCGGGCAGCUUCCGGGAAACCAAAGUAUUUGGGUUCCGGGGGAAGUAUGGUUGCAAAGCUGAAACUUAAAGGAAUUGACGGAAGGGCACCACCAGGAGUGGAGCCUGCGGCUUAAUUUGACUCAACACGGGAAAACUUACCCGGCCCGGACACUGGGAGGAUUGACAGAUUGAGAGCUCUUUCUUGAUUCGGUGGAUGGUGGUGCAUGGCCGUUCUUAGUUGGUGGAGCGAUUUGUCUGGUUAAUUCCGAUAACGAACGAGACUAGCCUAUUAAAUAGGUGCGGGGUUCCCAGCACCUUACAACCAACCUUCUUAGAGGGACAAGCGGCUCCUAGCCGCACGAAACAAGCAAUAACAGGUCUGUGAUGCCCUUAGAUGUCCGGGGCCGCACGCGCGCUACACUGAAGGAAGCAGCGUGUCUUUAUCCCUGUCUGAAAAGACUGGGUAACCCGUGGAACUUCUUUCGUGAUUGGGAUAGGGGCUUGCAAUUGUUCCCCUUGAACGAGGAAUUCCCAGUAACGCGAGUUAUAAAGCGUCGCGUUGAUACAUCCUCCCCUUUGUACACACUGCCCGUCG